rnacentral:rRNA from 1 species
AUGGGAUCCGGCCUCAAGCAGCUCAUCCGGCAGCUCGCGGAGAACGACCCCAGCCGCUACGGCACCCUGCCCACCGCCAAGGCUGCGGUUGCCGCACUCCCUGAUGUCGCCGUCGAUGGGGGCGCCCAGCACGUCCUCCAAAAGGACUGCAUCCUGCCAUGGCUUGACCUCCACAGCUCCUCCCUGUCUGCCGUCAUCUAUGACCACCAGCGCCAGGCAGCUGCCGCUGCGGUAGCGGCACCUGCGUCCCCGGGUGGCGGCCCUUCGCCUAGGGUCAUGGUGAGGAGGUUCAGGAUCUUGUUGCCGUGGCCUCUCAGGGCCGCUUUUGGAGCUCAGCAGGCGGAGAGCAGCGACCAGGACGCUGCUGGCUAUGGCGACUACAAAAACGAUGGGAAUGCGAGCGGUCGCUCGUAUGAUGAUCUCGACUGA